rnacentral:rRNA from 1 species
AGCAUAAUCAUUAGUUUAUUAAUUGUGAACUUGUAUGAAUGGUUUGACGAGAUAUUGACUGUUUCUUACAUAUUAUUAGAAUUUAAAUUUUGAGUUAAAAUGCUCAAUUUUAAUUUAUUAGACGAUAAGACCCUAUAGAUCUUUAUUAUUAAUUAUAAAUUUAGUUUGGUUUAAUAUUAUUUAUAAUUAAUUUUUUUUGGGGUGACAUGGAGAAAAUUAUUUUAAACUCUUUAUUUUAUUAUACAUUUAUUUUUGGAUAAUUUGAUUAAAUUUUAUUUAUUUAAGAUUAGAUACCUUAGGGAUAACAGCGUUAUUUUUUUUGAGAGUUCUUAUUGACAA